UUCCGGUUGCCGUGCCGGUAGGCGCGGGGCUGCGGCCGCUGGCCUCUCUCGGGCCCCUGAGGUCUGCGGUUUCCGCAGACCCGCCAGCUCCCUGACGGGGUCCUUCUGGACUUGUCUGCUUCCUCGGGUCCCCGCAAAGGCUUCAUGGUCCGAAGCUCCGGUUCGCUGGGACCGACCUGGGCUGACCCAAGGCCGCGCCACUCAGUAAAGGAGGGUGUAGCGAGAGGCCAGAGCCACCACGGGCUCCGGCCGCAGCAUCCCUCCUCCCCAACCCUGCCCUGCCCUGCCCAGCUGUGUGCUCCACGGUGGGCAAGGGACCUCGGUCUCGGCCGCGUGCGUGCUGUGCUGGAGCCCCGCCAAGUGGCACUACUUGACCUCCAGGAUGGACGGGUUGGUCUCCAUGAUGGCCACGAUGAUCCUGUCGAUGUAGUCCUGCAGGCGGAAGUUGAUCUCCUCCUGCUUCUGGAUGGCGUCCAUGAGCUGUGGGAGGAGACAGGGGUCGGUGCCAGGCUGCGGUUGUCCUGGGGAACACGGGGCGUCACUCCUGGGCCGAGGCAGGACCACCAGCUCCAGCACCGGCCCCCAGAAGCGUGAGCCCAGCCCAUACCUGUUUC